UUGAAAAGUUGCACUUACAAAAUCAAAGCACACCAAUGCUUCAAGCGGCUUACCCACCGUUCAUCGCAAACGCGAACCGGUUUACACGCAAAACGCACGAGGGCUCGUUACGUGUUGGUUUCGCUUUGUUUGUACCCGCUUGAUUCCCACAGACAAUAGAUUAAUGGACUCUGGGUCAGCUAGGUCAUAUUUUAAUGCUCAUUAUGAGAGUACAAACGCUGAUAAAUCAGAAGCGCGUGGGUUAAAUACCAGAAACGAGAAACCGGUACGAAUUAUAAUACAAUGCACAGACAAUUUUGGUCAAAAAUGGCGUUUCCCUUUGUUUCUCGAUUCUAUCCAUACGACCAUCAUACGCAAAAAUCUGAUUUAAAAUGUGAGCUGCUAAUGAUUCAAAGAAAGCUGCGUGACUUGGAACAUAAAAACACGAAAUUUUCGGUUUUAACGCCGUAGACACAUGAACCAAAGGUGUUUUGCCGGUUGUAGGGGUCUCUUGGUAUAUGGCGACUGUGUAUUUGAAUUGUCAGUGUUUUUCAGUUUUCAGUUGAAUACUGAAUGUUUUUUUGAUCCCACGAUUACCCGUUUGUAUGGACAUAAACCACUGGGAUACGACAUCCAUGUUAAUUAAAAACAGCAUACAGUAGCAGGUUUUUGUUGAGAGGUCUGUUGACACUGAUGUAAACAGAACAUCUGAAAGAAACGGAUUACUGCGCAAACAAACACGACUUUCAGAUUUUUUUAGAAUGCAGGUUUGUUGCAUCAGGUUUAAGAAGUAGGCUAUGAUCUGAGAAAAUCUCUGUAACACUAACUAAUGACAGUUUCUUUUUUAAUGUAUGCAUACGCUACACAGAUUGGACAUGGUGGAGCAAACUGUACCUACGUGUGUGUAUCUGAGAGAGUAACACAAGCUUAUCUAAUGCAUAAGCAGCAUUCAUCUAUUCCAAGCAAAACCAUCCGGCUAAACUUUGAGGUUAUAAAAACAUCCUAUCACAGCCUACAUACACGAAGACAGCGUUCAGAAAUCCUAAGGGAAAUUCUGCACAGGAAAUGCUGAUGAUGGCAAACUUAAAUUUCAAUAGCUAAUUCUCUUUCCUCUUAGUUCUAGGCCUAUAACAAUGAUGACAAGAGUCUUGUAAGCAGAGGAUACUAUUAAAGAAGGAGUAAUUAUUAAAAGGAAACAAAUAGCGUGGUUACGUCAGAGCAAACGUGCGCUCCUUUUACUCUCAAGGACAUAAGGAGACGGUCAGGACGAUGGUCGCAAACAUCUGUUUGCCCAGUGACGUCACCACCCCCAUGCAAUCCUCUUCUGCUAAAAGCAGAUGCCUUAUUUGUUUGGCUGGAGAGCCAUUAAUCCUAAAGUCAGUCAGCGUGAGGAAAAGACAGGACAGAGAGAGACCGAUACUGUUUAACAGCACGGAUAUUGGGAAUAUUCAGCCCAUCUUCAGUUCCAGAAGGAGCUGCGGGAAGUGGUUGAGUACGUACGGACGUGGUUGAAGCCCCUGACGCAUUUUUGACAGAGCUGAGGUCCUUUCAAGCAGUUGUCCCCUUGUCCCUCUUUGUCUCAGACUGGCUGAAUUUGAAACCAGCUCCAAAAAAUAACGAAGGCCUUAUCCCUUUGCUGUCAACGUUGCAUGUCCAUAUUUCAUCAUACGGCGGUUAAGUAAUCCUUUUGAGCAUUCGUUUCGCUUUAUUGCGGAUCCGUGCUGUGUUUAAACACUUAACGGGAUGGUUUCAAUAGCACAGGACAUCGCAGAGUUGGAGUUUGAAAAGCAUUAAUUUAAUAGGAAAUACGCCGUACUAGAGCCAUACGCGCCGGGACACUAAAACCAGAGGCUGGGGAAUGACUGGAUAAACAAGGAUUUCAUGAUAAUACAGAUGCUUUGGGUUGGUUACAGUGAUGGAGAGGGUUUUUGGUAUGUUUUAGUAAGGCUCUGCGUGAUUUGAGACUCUGGCUCUCCGUGUUCACAGCGGACCUUGAUUUAAUGUCUUACAAUUAAGGCACGCGGUGAAUGCCAAGAGCGGGGCCUUCCACCAUCAGCAGGCCAAAAAAUAAUGCAGGUUUAAAAAAUCGUUCUGAAAAUUUGAUUAAAUUGCUUCCUCCCCACCCCAAUAAAGCUAGUUCUGAUAGUU